ensembl:lncRNA
UUUUUUUUUUUUUUUUUUUUUUUUGUUGAGACGGAGUCUCGCUCUGUCGCCCGGCUGGAGUGCAGUGGCCGGAUCUCAGCUCACUGCAAGCUCCGCCUCCCGGGUUUACGCCAUUCUCCUGCCUCAGCCUCCCGUGUAGCUGGGACUACCACCUCGCCCGGCUAAUUUUUGUAUUUUUAGUAGAGACGGGGUUUCACCGUGUUAGCCAGGAUGGUCUUGAUCUCCUGACCUCGUGAUCCGCCCGUCUCGGCCUCCCAAAGUGCUAGGAUUACAGGCUUGAGCCACAAGGUGCUAUUUAGAAAACACACAACUUGUUGCUUUUAUCUGAGGGUACUGGGGCUGUUUCUCCCAUUGUGCUUCAUAUGGGUUUACUGCAUCUCAAACACUGCACAAGGAGCAUAAAAGACGGAGAGGGCUGCCUCCAGGCCUGGCCCCAGACACUGUAAUUUUGGAAAGACUCAUUCUUACUCUGUGUUGUUUUGUUUUUUUUUAAAAAAAAAAUAAGCUUUUCUCAAAGAGCUCCAGUGAUUGCAUCACACUUCCUCCGGUAUGAUUAACACUUUUCCCCACACUGUGAUUCCCAACUGCAUCCCAACCUCAGGAGUGGGUCCUCCCACGAAUUUGGCGGGUAAGUGUGUGUGUGUGUGUGCGUGCAAGCACCCGUGUGUGUGCUGGAUGAGAGAUGGGAAUAAAACUCCUUUUUUGGGUGAAGUGGAGGGGAGAAGGGAAAGAGAAGGAGAGGAGGAAGAGAAAGAUCAAUAAUAAUACCAAUGAUCAUCGACGUCCUUGUUGAAACAAUCAGCAUCCCAAGGACAGGAGGUGUGCCUUCGGUGUGUCUUGUCUGGCCACCCCCUUUGCAUGCUGUAGAGACCCAAUACCAGACCAGCGUGGGGACCAGGACACCAGGGCACUGGCGACUGCUCCCUCCCUCUCUUGGCCUCUUGGCUGUGGGUUGCCAAUGAGCCCUUUCAAUCCAAUAAAUGUGACUAUGAAGUUCAAACCCAAGCAUCCACUUUGCUUUAAAAUCCAAGUUACAUUUUAAAUAGGUACCAUCCAUAUUGGAAAACUGUUUAUUGGGAUCUGCUGCAGCCGAACAUAGCAUCCCCUCAGACCCUGCCAUUCCACUCUGGAGUAAAAGCCAGAUCAAAAUGCAUGCAAGUGAUGGCGGAAAGGCACGAACAAGAACGUUCUGAGCUGCACAGCUCAUUACAGAUGAACACUGGAAAUCACACAAAUGUCCAUCAGUUCUCACAAUAAAACUGUGAAUGGCAACAAUAAUGAAUAACCUACAACUAGACAUGACCACGUGGAUGAAUCUCACAAGCAUAACACUCAGCCAGAGAACAGACACACAGAUGACAAACGGCACAAGAACAGGCAGAGCUGCUCUCUGCUGUUAGAAGCUGGGACAGUGAUCACUCCUGCAGGGGGUGACUAGGAAGGACCACAUGCAGGUUUCAGGGAUGCAGCUCCUGCUCUCUUUCUUAAUCUGGCGGCUGCUGUCUAGUUAGUGAAAAUUCAUCAAGCUAUAUAUACGUAUGAUAGAUACCCUUUUCUGUACAUAUAUUGAACUUUAAAAAAAGUUUUAAAUAAAGUAACAAAAUGAAUCACAUUCUCUCUGCACCAAAACCAUCUUUGUCACUUCCUAUUUGGGUUGAAAAUAGAAAAGGCAGCAGGAAAAUGUUACAGCCGCUCAGGCACCCAUAAAAUCGACUGAAAGUAAAACCGACAGACACGAAACUCGGGCCCAGGCUUAAAUCAGAAGGUGAGGUGGAGGCUGCGAGGAAAGUGGGGGAGCAGGCUGCAAUUUGGUGAGAAGGAGGCCAAACCAAGAGCCCCUCAUGAGAUCUGCAUCUCUCUCCUGUUCAGUCUCCCUCUUACCAAGAGUGAAUCUCAAUCCAGCUGAAUUCAGCCACAGGUCAAUGCCCAUGCUGUUGUCCAUUCAAUGACAAGAUGCAGGAGAAGAGACAGGUCCUAUGCAUGGAGAGCAGGGGAAGGAUCAGCUUAGAGCCCAGAUUCCAGCCUGGCCCUGCUGGUGUUUGGUUGUUUCAGAGAGACUGGACCCAAGUGGAGCUAGCACAUGACAGGAACAGACGCUGAACCCAGAAAGCACAGAUAUCCGUGACUUGAAAGGGACACCACACCGGGCCUUCUCCGAAGGUAAUUCUCAUGAAAUCCCUUCUCAGGAUGACUUACAGAUGGUAAAGCGGGUGAAGAUGGGCAGCUGAGGCAGGGGAAGAGCAGAUGGCCAGCCGGCUAACCAAAUCCAUGUGCACGACCCACACCAGACACUGACACCCGACUGCAGGCCCAGGAGCACCAGGUGCUGAAAUUCCUCCCAAUUUCUCUUUUCAUGGCAGAAAGAAUUUCAGAAGGAAAGUGAAAUGGAUGAAUAUCUGCAGCUCCUGAAACCCAGAGCAUCUUUACACUCAAAAUGUGAAGAAUCCUAAUGACACAGAGCUAAUCAAAUGUUUGUUGUGUUGCCAUAAUUUCUCAUCAUCAUCAUUUCAGGCCAAGUGCUAUACAGUGUAAUGAAUAUCACAUUUUACAGUUCGUCGCAAGGCUUGGAAGUGCCCAGAGCGUAGGUGGUUCCUUGGAGAAUAAUAGCCCAGAAAAGAAGAGGGAAACUCUACUGAAAAAUAAAGAGUGAGGUUUAUAAACAUGAGCCACCAUCCCCAAGGGACACUUCCUCUCUCCAUCUCCACAGUUGCAUCCCUCUCUCUCUGCGGGUGUCUGUCACAGCUGUUGACCUUUCAGUAUGCCCUUGGUGCUCAUGUUACGUUUGUUUGUUUUUUGUUCGUUUUGUUUUGUUUUUGAGACAGGGUCUCACUUUGUCACCCAGGCUGGAGUGAAGUGGCGCAAUCAUAGUUUACUGCAGCCUCAAACGCCUGGGCUCAAAUGAUGCUCCCUCCUCAGCCUCCCCAGUGGCUGGGAAUACAGGCAUGCACCACCAUGCCUGGCCAAUUUUUGCAUUUUUUUGUAGAGUUGGGGUCUUGCUAUGUUGCCAAGGCUGGUCUCAAGCUCUUGGCCUCAAGCAAUCCUCCCACCCCAGCCUUCCAAAGUGCUAAGAUUAUAGGCAUGAGCCACCAUGACAAGCCUGCUUGUUUUUUCUCUAAAACUAGUGUAGAAUGGAGGAUAGAAGCAUACUAUGAUAUAUGGGCCGGUCUAUCAACCCCCUGGGAGGGAUGGAGACUCCAAGCUUCUCCAGGAAAGCACUGCUGGCUUCCCCCUGAGCUCUCCUGUGGAAUGAACCCAUAUCACUCACUAUCGACAGCCCCUGCACACUCCCAUGCUGCUUUUUAAGGACACUUCACAGGUGGCAUGAGAGUCUUUUGAUUGUACAUGCCUGUUCUCCCUACUGGACUCUAGGUGCCUUCAAAGCAAGGACUGUGUCGCAUAUGCUAUUUAGACCCAUAUGCUACCAACAGAGCGUGGCCCCCCAAUAAAAGUUGGUUGAAUUAUAUCAAAUUAAAUUAUGAAUAAAUUCAAAAAAAGAAAAGUUCGCCAUGAGAUUGAAGAAGGGGUCAGGACACUGGAGUUAAAUUAGGCCUUGAAAUUUGACUCAUACGUGAGCACUUCACAAGUGUUCAAAGAAAGAGUGAAACUAUUUCUUCAUUGGGUUUGUCACCCAGUGUUCAUGGUGUUAAAUGCAUUUAUGAUCAACGUGCACCUUGACCCUGAAGACUAUGGACUGGUUCUUCAUCUUAAAGGUAGGCUGGAGCAGAAAUCUGGAGGCUCCAGGUACAGGCUGCAGGGCUCAGUUGCACCUUGUAGGUAAUGGAAAAACUGGAACAUACGAAUGGAUGUUCUGCAGGGGAUGCAUCUGUUAGCAUCUCAAAGCUACUGCAGGAAGCCCAGUCCAUGGGAUGUGCUGGAACAGUCAGGAGGAAGGGGUUGGGGUCUAGAGGGCCAGACAGGUAAGGAGCCAGAAAGUGCAAGUACAAGGUGUCAAGAAUCUGGACUUGAGGGGAGAUGAGAUGGCAGUCCAGAUGAGGGGCCAUGGGAGAGAUGCUGUGAAGGAGCUAGUACAGAGACCCAGCUUCCCAGACGCUGCUCUGAUGAAGACACAGGAAUUCAGGAGGCUUAGGUAUUCAACCUAGGUGUGUAAAUAGGAAGGGACCCUAGUGUAGGAGGUAAGUCCAUGAAUUUUGCUUUAGAUCAAGGCAGAGCACCUGAGUGAAAAUAAAUGUUUCGUCUUGCACCAUACAGGGACCCAGAGCCGCAGCUAGUCCUUUUUACAAACUGGAGAGAGCACCACCCUACCUCACCUUACUCCCACAAUGGAUAGGGGCAUAGGAAGGGAAGAUGAGUGGGUAGCACCUUCAUGCACAUUUGAAAAAGGCAGCUCUUGCUCCAAGCAGCUACAGCUCCAGGCCAGGGUCUCAGUCCCACUCAAACAGAAGCAGACGUCCUAUGCAGGGCAUGUCUUGUGCCACCACAUUAAAUGGCCCCAAUAGAGCACUGUUGAGAUUUAAAGGACAGUAGAGGAUACAAGAAAUGAGUCAAGUAUUCUUGGGUAGAAAAUAGCCAGAGUGGGCACAUUAACUUGGCAGCAUUUAACUCAGUGUGUGCGAGUUUACAAUGCGGAAACAAUGCCAACAGCUUCUACACAGUCACACCAUAUUCCAGGCCAGUGCCAGCUAAGGCUGGAGGAACAGAGAGACUUCAUGACACCCUCUCCUGGGAACAGAUGAUUAUAAGGAGUGUCUGUGACCACAGGGCUGGAAAUCAAAGCCCAGGGCCAACCAUCAAAAUAGUAAGUACUGUGCAACAGAAAUGAUAUUCAUUAUCAU